AGAGAAAGGAACGGAACGAGAGAGACAGAAAGGGGCUCGGGGCCGAAGGCGGGGAGGGAGACGGAUUUGAGUUUGAGAGAGAGGGUCCGGAGGGAGAGGGAUUUAAGAUUCGUUUAUACUCCUCCGUCCCCCGCUGUUAAAUCGCCGCCGCAUGCUGGCCGGUCGCCAUGGUUUCCGACCAGGAGAUCGCUAGCUGCGUCGAGUCCCUCCUCCGUCAGUCCGACCCCGCCACUGCCGUCGGCGCCAAUCUUAGCUCCGUCGUCCGCCAGGUCGAGGCUAAGCUAGGGCUCGACCUCUCCCACAAGGCUGGCUUCAUCCGCGACCAGAUCGAGCUCCUCCUCGGCCCCCCUCGCCCCCCGCCCCCACCGCCGCCCAACCAACAACGCCACCUCCUCUACCCUCUCCAGCAGGGCCACACGCCCCCUGUCUCCUCCCCUUUCCCCCACCAGCCCGGGCUCGACUUCCAAUACCCGCCUCCCCUCCCUGCCGCCGCGGUCGUUGCCGCCUACCAUCUCCAGCAGCAGCUCCAGCAGCCGCCCCGGGCGGCCCCCACCACAGUCCGGCCUGCGGCUAUGCCGGCCCCAAAGGAAAGCGCUUCUACUGGAGUUAAAAGAAGGGGGGGCCCAGGGGGUCUAAAUAAACUGUGUGGUGUUUCACCUGAACUUCAGGCCAUUGUUGGUGAGGCAACCAUGCCAAGAACUGAGAUUGUGAGGCAGCUAUGGGCAUAUAUCAGGAAAAACAAUCUGCAAGAUCCUAAUAACAGGAGGAAGAUCAUCUGCAAUGACGAACUUCGUCUAGUGUUUGAGACAGACUGUACCGACAUGUUUAAGAUGAACAAGCUGCUGGCUAAGCACAUCAUUCCACUUGAAACCACGAAGGCUGCAGAACCAGACUCUAAAAAAUUAAAGACUGAAGAUGUGGUUGCCGCAACUGAACCUGAUGCUGGUCAAUAUCCUGUGGUUAUUUCUGAUGCAUUGUUUAAAUUUUUUGGUUCUGAAGAAAAAGAAAUGCCUGAAAUUGAAGCUUUUAGGCGUGUAUGGGACUACAUAAAGUCUAACCAGCUGGAGGACUCAGAGAACACAUUGAUAGUGUGUGACCCUAAGCUUCAAGAACUUUUUGGAUGUGAAAGCCUUCCGACAUCUGGAUUAUCUGAGAUGUUGGCCAGCCAUGUAGUCAAACGGUCAUGACACAGGAUAAGGUGUCAAAAAUGUUGAAGACCAGGAUAAUACAAAUUAUGCAUUCAUUUUCCAACUUAAAGAACUCCUGUUUGUGAACUGAUGGCUGACCUGAUGUGCAGCUUCGGUAGCGUCAAGUUCCUCUAACAGUACAGUAUAGAAAACUUGAUGAAGAAAAAACCGUUUUGUUCUGUGCUUGAUUGCUUGUAUGUUUUAUGUUAGAAACAGUAGACUAUACUGGGGGCAAUCUGUAAUUACUUUUAGGUCAGUGGUGUUGAAAAUGAUGAUAGUUGGUGUAUUGUUCAGGGAUUCUAUCAAUGUCAGUCUUCAGGUUCCCGUACUUUCACAAACUCUGUAAAGGAAAAGAUUUGAAGCAAAGUUGAUCCCGGAUAGCGACUUGAGUGUCUUUGCCCUCUUGAUGUCAACUUUUGUUGCAACUGAUUGAUGCACAACCACUGUGUAUAUCUGUGUGUAACGUGGACGACUCAGAAAUAUUCCCAUUACAGCCAAGUAUAAAUCUGUCAUCUGGCUGUUUUGUAAAGCAUACAUCGCUUUUUCUUUGAUAGCAUGUAACUUCGUUAUAUCUA